GUGAAUCAUCGAAUCUUUGAACGCAUAUUGCACUCUCUGGUAUUCCGGAGAGUAUGCCUAUUCGAGGGUCAUUUGUAAUAAUAUAAAUUCCAAGAUUUUUCGGAUUUUAAAAUGGGUAGUCGAUUUUUUGCGGUAGCCUAAUAUCCAAGACAAGCUCAUUUUCUUGGGUUGCGUGAUAUUUUCAGUUACCUCGUGACUUAACCAGGAAUCAUAGGGCGAUUUAUGAAUUUUGCAAGAGAUAAAAAAUUCCAUAGAUUCAGAUCAUGCGAAAUAGAAAUCGG
rnacentral:misc_RNA from 1 species